UACGUAGGGUGCGAGCGUUGUCCGGAAUUAUUGGGCGUAAAGAGCUUGUAGGCGGUUUGUCGCGUCUGCUGUGAAAAUCCGGGGCUCAACCCCGGACUUGCAGUGGGUACGGGCAGACUGGAGUGUGGUAGGGGAGACUGGAAUUCCUGGUGUAGCGGUGGAAUGCGCAGAUAUCAGGAAGAACACCGAUGGCGAAAGCAGCUCUCUGGGACGGUACUGACGCUGAGGCGCGAAAGCGUGGGGAGCGAACAGG
rnacentral:rRNA from 1 species